UACAUAGGGUGCAAGCGUUGUCCGGAUUUAUUGGGCGUAAAGAGCUCGUAGGCGGUUCAUCACGUCGGAUGUGAAAACUUGGGGCUUAACCCCAAGCCUGCAUCCGAUACGGGUGAACUAGAGAGCAGUAGGGGAGAUUGGAAUUCCUGGUGUAGCGGUGGAAUGCGCAGAUAUCAGGAGGAACACCAGUGGCGAAGGCGGAUCUCUGGGCUGUAUCUGACGCUGAGGAGCGAAAGCGUGGGGAGCAAACAGGAUUAGAUACCCUGGUAGUCCACGCUGUAAACGGUGGGCGCUAGUUGUGGGAGACUUCCACGUCUUCUGCGACGUCGCUAACGCAUUAAGCGCCCCGCCUGGGGAGUACGGCCGCAAGGCUAAA
rnacentral:rRNA from 1 species